GACGAACGCUGGCGGCGUGCUUAACACAUGCAAGUCGAACGGAAAGGCCUCUUUCGGGGGGUACUCGAGUGGCGAACGGGUGAGUAACACGUGAGUAACCUGCCCUUGACUUUGGGAUAACUUCAGGAAACUGGGGCUAAUACCGGAUAGGAGCUCCUGCUGCAUGGUGGGGGUUGGUAAGUUUCGGCGGUUGGGGAUGGACUCGCGGCUUAUCAGCUUGUUGGUGGGGUAGUGGCUUACCAAGGCUUUGACGGGUAGCCGGCCUGAGAGGGUGACCGGCCACAUUGGGACUGAGAUACGGCCCAGACUCCUACGGGAGGCAGCAGUGGGGAAUAUUGCACAAUGGGUGGAAGCCUGAUGCAGCAACGCCGUGUGCGGGAUGACGGCCUUCGGGUUGUAAACCGCUUUCGCUCAUGACGAAGCUUUGUGUGACGGUAGUGGGUAAAGAAGCACCGGCUAACUACGUG
rnacentral:rRNA from 1 species